rnacentral:rRNA from 1 species
GACGAACGCUGGCGGCGUGCUUAACACAUGCCAGUCGAACGGAAAGGCCUCUUUCGGGGGGUACUCGAGUGGCGAACGGGUGAGUAACACGUGAGUAACCUGCCCUUGACUUUGGGAUAACUUCAGGAAACUGGGGCUAAUACCGGAUAGGAGCUCCUGCUGCAUGGUGGGGGUUGGAAAGUUUCGGCGGUUGGGGAUGGACUCGCGGCUUAUCAGCUUGUUGGUGGGGUAGUGGCUUACCAAGGCUUUGACGGGUAGCCGGCCUGUGAGGGUGACCGGCCACAUUGGGACUGAGAUACGGCCCAGACUCCUACGGGAGGCAGCAGUGGGGAAUAUUGCACAAUGGGUGGAAGCCUGAUGCAGCAACGCCGUGUGCGGGAUGACGGCCUUCGGGUUGUAAACCGCUUUCGCUCAUGACGAAGCUUUGUGUGACGGUAGUGGGUAAAGAAGCACCGGCUAACUACGUG